rnacentral:piRNA from 1 species
UGAUGUAAGAAAUCCAUAGUUGGGCUU